UUCUCUUUCAUUAGUUGUUGUACUCGUAGAUAUAAGUAACUAGUUGGAGUUCCUUUACUUUUGUAUCAAAUAUUAUUUUUUCUUGUUAUGAAUAUAAUUUCACAUUCACAAUUCUUUAUAUUAUCAUAGCUUAAUUCUUUUCUAUUUUUCUGAAGAAAUAAAUAGUUAAUACCCUCUCUCGAAUUUCAUCUUUUAGCCAAACAAAUUAGUUUUCUUGAAUCCUUGUAACUUUCUGAUAUUGUUACAUAUCUUUGUUUUGCAAAUUGUUGGUUGGUUGUUUCUAGAUCUAGAAAUUUUCUUGGUUAUUUUCUUGCUGUCCGAACAAAGUUUUUUCUUCCUUUUUACUUGAAUGGCUAAUCAAGUUAGAGCAUAAGAUUUACCUUUGAGUCCUUAUUAUCUACAUCCUAAUGAGAAUCCUUUUCUGGUUCUUGUGUCCUCUUUACUCACUAGAUCGAAUUAUUACUCCUAGUCAAGAGGAAUGAAGCUUGUUAUUGUCUAAAAAUAAGUUAAAGUUUGUGGAUGGAUCGAUUAAGAUGCUUGACAAAGAAAAUACUUUGUUUCCAGCUUGUGAAAGAUGUAAUACUAUGGUGUUGUCAUGGUUGAUUAAGUCUUUGUCAACGUCCAUUGCACAAAGUGCUAUUUCAUUAGAUUUUGAUUUAGAUGUUUGGACAGAUCUUAGAGAUCGUAUCUCAUAAGGAGAUUCUAUGUGUAUAACAGACUUACUAGAGGAGACUUAUUCUUUUAAGCAAGGAUCUUUAAUAGUUAUUGAGUAUUUCACUCAACUCAAGAUACUAUGGGAUGAAUUUAUGAGUUUGAGGCUAAUGCCAAGUUGUUCUUGUGAACCUUCCUGUGACUGUCUAGCUUUUUCCACAGUAAAGAACUACGUGCAAAGUGGUUGUGUUAUUCGAAUUCUGAAAAGUCUUAAUGAAACCUUUUCAAAUGUGAAGUCGCUAAUCCUUAUAAUGGAACCAUUACCUUCCGUUAAUAAGGACAUCAAGUGAUGGAAGAUGAUUAGAUUAGCUGAAGAGAGGAGCGGGUUAUAUCAUUUGCUUCCUUCUUGUACAAAUUUCUUUUCUGUUAAUUAUAUUACUAGUGCUAAUAAACCUAGUAAUCUUUAGCACUAAAAGCUUGGCCAUGCUUCUAUUAACAAAAUAAAGAUGUUAACAAAUAUAAAUCCUAGUGAACUUACUCAGCAUGUUGAUCAUUAUGACAUUUGUUAAAUUGCAAAGCAAAGAAAAUUUUCUUUUCCUUUGA